rnacentral:rRNA from 1 species
CGUAGGUGGCAAGCGUUAUCCGGAAUUAUUGGGCGUAAAGCGCGCGUAGGCGGUUUCUUAAGUCUGAUGUGAAAGCCCCCGGCUCAACCGGGGAGGGUCAUUGGAAACUGGGGAACUUGAGUACAGAAGAGGAGAGUGGAAUUCCAUGUGUAGCGGUGAAAUGCGCAGAGAUAUGGAGGAACACCAGUGGCGAAGGCGGCUCUCUGGUCUGAAACUGACGCUGAGGUGCGAAAGCGUGGGGAUCAAACAGGAUU